rnacentral:misc_RNA from 1 species
GUAUUGUAUUGCGUUAAACGCGACGUACAUUCCAUGAGACCUUAUUACAGUGUGUGUGUAAAGACGUAGGACCACGGCAAGGGAACAGGGUCCCCAAGGCCACAGAACUACAGAGGGUGCACAGGUGUGAGUGGAUAUGUAAACAGAGCGUGCACACGCCCCCUUUCGAGGGCCAGCAACAGCUCGUGUCGACGGUUCGGUAAUGAUCCUUCCGCAGGUUCACCUACGGAAA